GUUUGAGAGGAGCAUGUGAUGCCGUUGCAGUUGCAGUUGCGGAGGAGGAAGACGAAGAUGCAGAUAAGGAUGCGAACAUAAAAGGGAAGGGAAUUAUGGUGAACAACCUUCAAGUGGAAGAAUCCUCGUUGCUUAGGGCUAUAGCCUAUUGGUAUGUGUGAUUUUAUGUUUCUAUAAAUUGACAACAAAAGAAUAUGGUGCAGGUCAUAUAACUACUACUUUCCUUUUGUUGCAAAUUCUUCAAACUUGUUUGCGUUCUGAUUGGUGACUACAUCGUCAACACUCGAUGAUGAAUAAAGUUCUCAUCUUCUGCUUAUGGCAAAAGCUACGUUAUUGGCUUCGCAAUCCGGGACGAUGCAAGAGAGCCGUUGAUUAUAGUGCCAAGUAUAUUCAAGUGUGGCAAUGAUAAAAAGAAGAGAGCAUUAAAAUUUGUAUGGUUUGGAGAGUUUCUUGACUUUGUGUUUGGUUCCCACUUGACCAACAAUUUGUUACUACUUCUACUAUGUUGUAGUGUCAGCACAAAAGCAAAAAGGAGAGAUGCUUCUCAACAGGAAGACUAGAUUCCUACCAUCAUAGGUAGAAUUAGGUUGUCAUUUUACUUUCAGGCAUCAUUCAAAGAGUAAAGCAUAUGCAGAUUCUCAAUCCUUAUGUAUAUAUGGUAAUAUUCUUAGCUUCAAUUUCUGUAUAUUUCUUGCUACUUUUAGUUGGUUACAGCUUGGAA